AGCAUCAAGCUCCCUCUGACCCGCGACGCGACCCGACGACCCGAGAAAAAGACCCGGUCGGAACUCCUCCGUCCGACCAUAUCUCGCGGCGGACCACCGGCGUUCGCUUCGUCUCGACGACGCCGACGUGCCUCUGGCCACGGAUCAUCCAUGCACGGGCUGUGGAGAGGAUUCGAAGCUUGAAAGGUUUGAACUUUCCGGCGAUGCUUCUGCAAUUUCCGGCGAUCUUCAGGGCUGUGUGAGGCUUCUAGUUUCGUUUCUGGCGUCUUGGAAAACCAGUUGAGGUCCGGGGAAGCUUGGUUCCUUGAAUUGGCGUUCGGGGAUGCUUUGGUCCUUGCUGCACUUCGGACUGAAGGAGAGGACUGGGAUGCGCUCUGCGCUCUGUUCAAAAUUCACCAAGCACAGUGGCUGCAAGUUUGCUUGCUCACGAUGUAUGUUAGCUCAGAUUAAGCUACUCUGAUUGUCAAAGGACUCCAGUUACCCGAGGAACGGAAGGUUCGUGAAUUUCGGACGACUUCGGAAUCCAGGUAGGGGAUUCGGGGCCUUUCUCGGUUAGUAGUUUUCCCGUUUUAUAUAAAGUGAAGCAUGAUGCAUGUUAAAUUAUAUGGUAUGGUUAUGUUUAAAUGCAAUGCAUACUAACCAUUCCGUGAGAGAUAUCGUUGAUGGCUUGAGAGCGAAGGGUGGCUCUGACUUCCUUAGGUUCGAUCUCCAAAACCUCCGGAGGGUUAGCUACACCGGUCGGACGGUGCGCGAUCGUAAUGACGACCCGAUUCCGUGUGUGUAGCUAGGUAGCGGACGCUCUCGCUACGCUUACCUGGUUAUGAAUUGAUUUGAGGUAAGGUCGUGUAGUUGGUCUAUGGGACCGGCCAUCAGGUAUUGUUUUGGGCCCGUAUUUACUUGAAGUUCAUGCAUCGUAU